rnacentral:lncRNA from 1 species
GAAUCUGCUGGCAUCUGUGGACAAGAACGAGGCGGAGAUCUCGCCAUCAACACUAUAUGCCAUUGCCUGUGUCACGGAGGGGGUGCCGUUCAUCAAUGGGAGCCCCCAGAACACUUUUGUGCCUGGUGUGUUUAGUUUGGUGUGUUCCCAAAGUUUUAUGGUGUUGCAUCUCUGUUCAAAAAACUUAUUAUACUUGUUUCAUGUUUGUAGGGCUGAUUGAUCUUGCUAUCAAGAACAACUGCCUGAUCGGUGGUGACGACUUCAAGAGUGGGCAGACCAAGAUGAAAUCGGUCCUGGUUGAUUUUCUUGUUGGUGCUGGAAUAAAGGUACAAUUUAUCAAUGAAACCUGAUAUCCCCCCUUCGAAAUGUUUUUGGCAGACGACAUACUUACAAUAAUUCGUGUAUAUGUUCAUGCAGCCCACCUCGAUUGUGAGCUACAACCACUUGGGAAACAACGACGGCAUGAAC